rnacentral:lncRNA from 1 species
UCGAGCCCUACGUGUGUUACGAGAUCCGCGUGUUCGCGCUGUCGGGGGACCGAGGCGGGUGCAGCUCUGUACUGGGCGACUUAAAACACAGAGGUGAGCAGGCCCGCAGGCUUCCCCGAGCUGGCGCUCUGGGCAGACCCGGCCGGGGCUGACGGAGCCGCCCUGUCCUCCCAGCACCGGCCAUCGGCCCCCACAUCGAGGCCAUCACCGAGGAUGAGACAGGCGUGUUGGUCUCCUGGAGCCCCAGGCCGGCCGGGGAGCAGGUGGGCUGUGUCGUGCACCUCCGGAUCUACUGGCGGGAACGGGGCUCCAGCACCCCGCCGAGGCUCCAGGUCUCCACCUUGCUUUUACCACUGGGUCCCACUGGAGAGCUUUUCCUGGUAACCCAAAUGGCUCUGCCUCGCUCUUUGUAACGCCUCUGUAGUAUUCCACUAUAAAGCUUCCAGUCAUUUGUUGACUACUCCAGCCCCUGAUAAAGGACGCGUCACAGACAGAACUGCUCCCUGGCUGGCUCUACGGUGACUCAGUUCUGAAAUGCAUCCCACAGGUGACAAACCAGCUGACCUCUUCAUGGGCCAUUUGGAAUUCUGUGUGUGAAAUUUCCUCAAUUUUC